rnacentral:misc_RNA from 1 species
AUAAAAUUUUGUAUGGUAUUUUCUCAAUCCCAAUUAGCUUUCUCUCGAGUGAGUAAUGAAAUAGAUAAUUUAAUUAAUCAUGCUAAAGAAUUAAAUCAAGAACUUGAAUCUCUUUCCCUAACUACUGUGGAUCUUUUGGGACAACCAUCUGGAAAAUACGAUUAUUGGAUAACUUAUUCUGCUCCUCCAUCAGCAAGCAUUCCCAGUUCAUCCAUUAUUCCUACUGGUUGGGAUGACGACUAUAGCACUGUAAGUAUCUAUAGAUUUAACUAAUAGAAUAGAUUUAACUAAUAGAAGAGAGGUAGAACUAUUAAGGACUGAGUUAAUUAGUGAAGGUACAAAUCUGUUUAAUCAACAUUUAGAAACCCAUAGUGAACUCUGUGAUUGUCGUGAGCAUCUGUGUACUUUAGCUUUGUUUAAUAUAA